rnacentral:rRNA from 1 species
UACGUAGGGUGCAAGCGUUAAUCGGAAUUACUGGGCGUAAAGCGUGCGCAGGCGGUUAUGUAAGUCAGAUGUGAAAUCCCCGGGCUCAACCUGGGAAUGGCAUUUGAGACUGCAUGGCUAGAGUGUGUCAGAGGGGGGUAGAAUUCCACGUGUAGCAGUGAAAUGCGUAGAUAUGUGGAGGAAUACCGAUGGCGAAGGCAGCCCCCUGGGAUAACACUGACGCUCAAGCACGAAAGCGUGGGGAGCAAACAGG